rnacentral:rRNA from 1 species
CCUACGGGAGGCAGCAGUGGGGAAUAUUGGGCAAUGGGCGCAAGCCUGACCCAGCAACGCCGCGUGAAGGAAGAAGGCUUUCGGGUUGUAAACUUCUUUUCUGAGGGACGAAGAAAGUGACGGUCCCUCAGGCAUACGCCACGGCUAACUACGUGCCAGCAGCCGCGGUAAUACGAAGGUGGCAAGCGUUAUCCGGAUUUAUUGGGUGUAAGGGGCGUGUAGGCGGGAAAGCAAGUCAGAUGUGAAAACUCAGGGCUCAACCCUGAGCCUGCAUUUGAAACUGUUGUUCUGGAGUGCUGGAGAGGCAAUCGGAAUUCCGUGGGUAGCGGUGAAAUGCGGAGAUAUACGGAGGAACACCAGUGGCGAAGGCGGAUUGCUGGACAGUAACUGACGCUGAGGCGCGAAAGCGUGGGGAGCAAACAGGAUUAGAUACCCUUGUAGUC